rnacentral:rRNA from 1 species
GACGAACGCUGGCGGCGUGCUUAACACAUGCAAGUCGAGCGGUAAGGCCCUUUCGGGGUACGACGAGCGGCGAACGGGUAGAGUAACACGUGGGUGGACCUCGCCCUCCAGCUCUGGGAGUAAAGACCUCGGGAAACCGGGGUACCGUAAUAACCGGACGUAUGACUCCAUGACGCAUGUUGUGGGGUGGAAAGACCUUGUGCGGCUGAGGAGUGGGCCCGGCCGGCCUAUCAGCUUGUU